CUGAGAUAACUUUAAGUCUUGCUAUUUUCUUGUAUUAUACUUUUAUACUUUUAUUCUUUUAUCUUUUUAUUUUUUCCAUCUUUAUGGAUAACUUAAAAUCCAUACCUAUUAUUGAACUUUUUGCACCUUCGGAGACCAGCCAUAGACCAUGGGAGUCAACAAGUCCUGCCCCUAUUUAUGAUCUGUGUCCGGAGUUGAUUGCAAUAGGUCAAAACCAACCCUUUUCUAUAGAUGAGGUCCUAUCUUUUAAUCAAGAAGAUAAUGAACUUUUAGCUACACCUAGGGAAUCUUUUAAUCUAUCUAUAAAUUUUGGUUUAAACCUAGCCCUACAAGACCAUGUUUUUUCUCG
rnacentral:lncRNA from 1 species